GACGAACGCUGGCGGCGUGCUUAACACAUGCAAGUCGAACGGAAAGGCCCUGCUUUUGUGGGGUGCUCGAGUGGCGAACGGGCGAGUAACACGUGAGUAACCUGCCCUUGACUUUGGGAUAACUUCACGAAACUGGGGCUAAUACCGGAUAGGAGCUCCUGCUGCAUGGUGGGGGUUGGAAAGUUUCGGCGGUUGGGGAUGGACUCGCGGCUUAUCAGCUUGUUGGUGGGGUAGUGGCUUACCAAGGCUUUGACGGGUAGCCGGCCUGAGAGGGUGACCGGCCACAUUGGGACUGAGAUACGGCCCAGACUCCUACGGGAGGCAGCAGUGGGGAAUAUUGCACAAUGGGCGGAAGCCUGAUGCAGCAACGCCGCGUGCGGGAUGACGGCCUUCGGGUUGUAAACCGCUUUCGCCUGUGACGAAGCGUGAGUGACGGUAAUGGGUAAAGAAGCACCGGCUAACUACGUG
rnacentral:rRNA from 1 species